GAAGCGGCAACAGCUCAAAUUUGAAAUCUGGCGCAAGCCCGAGUUGUAAUUUGUAGAGGAUGCUUCUAGGUAGCGACCGGUCUAAGUUCCUUGGAACAGGACGUCAUAGAGGGUGAGAAUCCCGUAUGUGACCGGCCCGCACCUUCUACGUAGCUCCUUCGACGAGUCGAGUUGUUUGGGAAUGCAGCUCUAAAUGGGAGGUAAAUUUCUUCUAAAGCUAAAUACCGGCCAGAGACCGAUAGCGCACAAGUAGAGUGAUCGAAAGAUGAAAAGCACUUUGGAAAGAGAGUUAAAAAGCACGUGAAAUUGUUGAAAGGGAAGCGCUUACAACCAGACUUCUGGGCGGUGUUCCGCCGGUCUUCUGACCGGUCUACUCACCGUCCCGAGGCCAACAUCAUCUGGGACCGCCGGAUAAGACCUUAGGAAUGUAGCUCCCCUCGGGGAGUGUUAUAGCCUGUGGUGAUGCGGCGCGUCUCGGGUGAGGUCCGCGCUUCGGCAAGGAUGUUGGCGUAAUGGUUGUCAGCGGCCCGUCUUGAAACACGGACCAAGGAGUCUAACAUCUAUGCGAGUGUUCGGGUGUCAAACCCCUACGCGUAAUGAAAGUGAACGGAGGUGGGAAGGGUAACCUGCACCAUCGACCGAUCCUGAUGUCCUCGGAUGGAUUUGAGUAAGAGCAUAGCUGUUGGGACCCGAAAGAUGGUGAACUAUGCCUGAAUAGGGUGAAGCCAGAGGAAACUCUGGUGGAGGCUCGCAGCGG
rnacentral:rRNA from 1 species